UUCUUACUUUGCCUAGCUAUACAUUUUGAUUAUUAUUGAUGGAAAUAUUUUUUCCUCACUUUGUUUGUGUAUGGUGACCUCAACUGACAUUGACCGAUUGAAAAUCAUCUCCUUCCAAGCCUAAUUAUGUUGGAUGUUUGCUGAAGGUGAGAUAUGCUGCUUUCUCUGUAGGGGCACAUACCAAACACCCGCUUGCCAUGCAGAGUGGGCUUUGCCAUUUAAAGUUUGUGUGCUGCACAGGGAGAGAGCAGAUGUAAGUUGCAUGGGCCCAGCUUCAGAAGGCAGCUGUGUACCCCCGCCAUUAUAACUGCCAUGAGGAGUGGGGGAGGGAACAGAAGUAAAAGCUACAACAGGGAGACAGGACUGUUUCAACAUUUUGCUUCUUUCCUUUGCCUCCAUCUUUCCCCCUGUGGCCAGAAAGAGCGGAUGCACUGGGGCCAUUUUGACUCUCUGAGUGGGGUCGCAAGGCCUGCGUGCAGGGUUGUCCCUAGCAUACGCAGAAGACGUAGCUGCGUAGGGCACCAGGAAAUUUGCAGCACCAAAUUGCCCCAAAUUUCAUGGUGCCCUAGCCAGUUGCACGUUGCAUACGUGGCAGCACCAGCUCUGGCAGCCAGCUCUAUCCCCCAGCUGGCCCCCCACGGUCUGAGCCUACUGCAAGGGGCAGGCCCAUCCCUAGUGGCUGUGGGGCCUGGGACAACUCCCUUGGCCCUGCCUCUUAAUCUUCCCCCCUGCUCUGCCCCUGGCCCACCCCCAUUCUACCUCUUUCCCCCCUAAGCCUCUUCCCCCAGCGACCCCACACUCACUGGCAGUAGGGCCUCAGCUCUGGGUGACCCCGCUGGGGAACAUGCCUGGUUUCCCUUUUGUGGCAGUGAUUCCUGAGUGUAACACCGCCCAGUCACCCCUCAGCCAGGCUUCCUGGCACAGUCACAGGGCUGGGGGAGGCAGAUACCAGUGGACAAUGAUCAUAUUUGGAAUGGCUGUUUGUACUUCAGGCAGUGUGGCUGAGGUGCCAGCUGGGGGCAGUGCUGCUCUGGGGACGAGUGCCCCUCUCCCUUUCUGUGAGGAGCUGCGAGGGGUGGCCCACGUGAAGGGGAAGGAUUCUCAUCCCUUUCUAUUUUUAAAGGUGGCUGUAGCUUUUCCCAUGCAGUGUAAAUUGUUACUAUGCAGCGCAGAUGCCUUUGUUCUGCAUGAAGCCGGCACAGCAUGAGGACAGUCUGCUGCCUGUCUGGACAAGGUUGCAGAGACCAUGGGAUGCAAUGGAGGUGCAGGUGGGACAAAGCAGCCCGAUCCACAUCAGGGAUUUGCUGUGAAUAUCAGGCUGGAGUAACCCAGAGGCCAGGAUCAGUUUGGUUUACCCAAGCUUAGGUAAGAUCAGAGAUUUCCAGCAGUGGCCUUGGAAUGACUGACUCGCUGCCUAUAGGCUGGUUUGUCAGAAGUGCUGAGCCCCAGCACCUCCCAUUGACUUCAGCUGCACCCAUGGGUGCUUCAGGGGGAACUCCCAGGUGUUGCCAAUGGGAGCUGGAUAUUCCGCUCAGCUGAACUAUGGUCCUGCGCACACAUGGUGGGGGCUGAGAUUUACCUAGCUUUGCCCUGUUCUGUACCCACAGCUUCGGACUGCCUGUGAGAUGGGGGCCCAGGUUUGGCUGCAGAACUGAGCAGAUGUUGAUGUCCCACAAGCUUCCCUACUGCGGCCUGGCCUUGUGGAGAGUUGCCCAACACUGCUAAGACAAGGAGGCAGCUUGAGAGGGUGACAGCUGAGUCUUGAGUCCCAUGUGGGAAGUUGAGAGCCAAGGCCCAAAUUCAUCCCUGGUGUAACACCGCUGAGGUCGAUGGAUGGGUCUCAGUGUACCCCCGCAUCCAGCACACAAGGCUCACCCCACCCUGCCCCAAGCGAUACCAGGGAAGCCUCCCCUGUGAAGCAAGUUUGGGCUCUGGCCAGAGCUACCUGUGGCAGGAAGCUCACCCCAGACUUCAGUCCAGGAGCCACACAUGGGGGUUUGGUGUUCCCAGGCUCUUAUGAAGAGGGGAGGGGAUGGAAGUGAGGGGCCACAGCAUGGAGGGGGCUGGGGAGAAGCAGAUGGAGUUAGUCAUUGCUGCAGCGUCUGGUGUGGGGGAGGCAAAGCACAGCCAAUGAUACCACCUGUCUGCUGGCGCCAAUGGCGUCAGCAGUGCGCCGAGCCCAUCCCAGCACUGACACUCCACAGUAGUGACUGACAGCCCAGUGACAAUUUAGUGGGAGUGAAAAUGCUCCUUCUCUCUGGAGAGGAAAAAAGGCCCAGGAAGCAAACAGUAAUCCAGAGCUGGUAAUAACACAACUUUUGGUGUUAUGGCCUUGGAGUGGAGUAGCCUCUGCCUUGGAGAGUGGAGGCACCUCAUGCCACUAGUGCCUUUAGGAGCAGCCUUAGUCUCUCCCUUGUUGACUGGCAAGCAGGACUCAGCUCCAUUGCAGAUGUCAGUGCCCUGAGUGCACCAGACACAGAGAUGCUCGCACCAAACACCUGCAUCCGCCAUGCCCCAUCACACACACAGCCAUGCAUCCAGAGGCACGCUCGCCCAGCUGUCCUGCCACAGCCACGUGUACCCAUCUGAGAUCUAUAGCCACCUGCACAGCCAGAUGCUGUCAGAUGCCCACAGCACCGUGCACACGUGUAUGUUCAUAGAUCUGCGGGUAUGCUUGCACGCUCUGCCCCUAAGCGUGUGUGGUGUGUGCACAUGUCCAACGUAUCACUCAGCUGUGCCCAAACACACCUGGAUAUACCCCAUCUGCAGCCUGAUGCUCUCUCACUUGCUCCCCAGUGUGUAAACCCUUGCCCCAGGAGCUGGGAAAUCUCCAGAGCUCGGUAUGCUUAGGAAAAGGUAUUUGCCAUUGAAAUAAAAGCUGCUGCUCUCCUG